rnacentral:lncRNA from 1 species
CUUCAGCUGGAAGGGCUCUUAAAGAUCACCUGGAUACAGCCUCCUGCCAUGGGCUGGUCGCUAUCCACCAGAUCAGGCUGCUCACAGGGCCCCAUCCAACCCGGCCUGGAGUACCUCCAGGGUUCCCAUCCACAACUUCUCUGGACAGCCUUUACCAGCACCUCAACACCCUCUGAGUAAAGAAUUUCUACCUAACAUCUGACAUAAAUCUCCCCUCUUUUAGUUUAAAGCCAUUCCCUCUUUGUCCUAUCACUAUCUGCCUGCGUAAAAAGUCCAUCUCCCUCCUGCUUAUAAGCUCCCUGUACUAGAAGGUGAUACACAAGAACAUUUCCCAGACUGACUCAACACUGCUCCAUUGAAGACCCUCAACAAAAAGGCCACUGCUACAGUAGCUGAAAUCACAGCUCCAGUUUCUGACUGUCAACUGUGAACAGCCAGCUUUAAGAAUUAGUUGUAGACCCUGAGUAAACACCCAGCUUAAGGUGUCCUUCAAGCUCCUCACACUGCCUAACUGCACAGUACCUAGCUACUGAUUUCUGGUUAAGCAGAUGUGGAACAAUCUUAGGAGCCUGGAUCUCAGCUUGGCUGGGCAAAGCAGAGGGUGAGACUGUGCUACUCAGGGAGAUCCAUGACCAGCCCGAUAAACCCUGCUAGUGGGGAGCGAGGAGAGAAUACAAUCUGGUUUGCUUUCUGUAGAGAUCAAGAUCUCACUCCAGACACUGCUUCAAUCAGUAGGAACCUCCCAGCAUUUCACAGUUACUGACUGUAUAUUCAUUUCUGGAGCUGGGGCAAAAGUGGAUUUGCCAAAGCCAGUACCUGAAAAUCACAAAACAUACUUGCUGCAAACAGUUGUUGAUACCAAAGAACACAUUUUUUUCUCAUUUCUUUACUCUAGAAUUAACCAAGAUGUGUCUCGUAACAUCUGAUUUGUAUUUGUUUCUUGCUCAUUACUUUGAUUUUUUGCUCAUAAUUUAACAUUCAAAAUUCUUUUUUAACCAUUAUGUGACCAAGAAUUUCUUCUUCAAAAUGCAUGAAUCGUAUCUGCUGCUUAGAAAGAAGCGUAGGAGGAUUUUAACCUCAUUUCUUUAUUUCAGGUCAAGACAAAUCUUCUCCUGAAUAUAUGUAUAUACAUGAUGGAUCCCCUUUGAAACAUUUCCUUAACAUUUGACCAAGUGUUGCUCUUUUUGUUGCUGUUUAUUUUUCUUCCUUUUAGUAAAAUGACAGUAAUAGGAUCUGAAAACUGGAAACAAUAGAGUCUUCUACCAGGCUUCCAGGGGUCAUAUGUAUGUUAUUCUCAAUUGUUAGAGGUGUAAAUGAUGGCUCUGUGCGUAGCUUUGUUUAUUUAAGCCACUGGGUACUCUCCAGCAAAGAGAGUUUCACAAUACAGUUCUAAAAUACUGCAGAAAAUACAGUUUUCCAUUAAUUUUCAUGCUUUUUCCUGAAGAGCUUAUUUCUUAAGUGGAGGCUAGUACUGAGAGUUCAAUAGAGAAAAGGAACAUUCCGAUCUAUUUAGAAAAUUAGACUUCAAAGCACCAAAUACUGGUAAAAACUGGCUUCAUUAACUUCUCUAAAUUAUGUAGGGAUUAAUAGGAUUCUUAUUAUUAAUUCAUGUAAUUGUUUAUACUAGUUUUUGAUUGGCUUUAUUUAUUUAUUUAUUUGUGCUAUUCCAGCACUGCAUUGAUGAGACUCAUUAAAUGUAAAAGCAUUUGGCAAUUUAUCACACAGUUUAAAAACCUUUUCCAGAUCACCUCUAUUCACCCUUUCUGUUGGAGAACAUCUUUGGUGUGUAACAGGAAUAGAAUGAAUUGCAUGAUUUUCAUACAGACAGCAUUUCAAAAUCAGUAUGCCUCAGUGUAUAAGAAAGGCAUUCAGUUUUUUAUUUGAGCACGAUUCCUUCCUUUUCUCUCAUUUAUUGUUAUUUGAAAAAAAAAAAAAAUCCACUCUUUCAGACUUCUAUAUGUUCAUUCUAACUGUCAAAAAUAAAAGGUGUUUAAGAAUGCAUAGAGUAGUGUAACAGCUUUGUUAAAGUCAAUAAUUGGCUUUACCUGACCAUAUUUUAUCAACUGCUGCUGUGGAGUAGCUUUUCAAAUACUAAAAAGCUCUAUUAUUCAACCCAAUAGUAACAUUAGCGAUAUAUAGAAUAAUGUAUUCCCAUUUGUGCAUAAUGAGGUUGUAAAUUCAUUCAAGGGUUCUGGCAACAUUAUGAACCACCAGAGCAAACUCUAUUUUUUUUAAUGUCACCAAGUCAGGACAAUCAAUUUAUGCAGCUUUUGAAGCAGAUUACCCCUCUGGAGCAUGCCAGGGCAGCAAUCAAAGCGCUGCAAACAUCCACCAGGCUGCAUGGCAAGCGUGCAAUGUAGGGGAUGGGAGAUACAAAAGAAUCAUUCAAAGUACUGUUGCUUCUGAAGUCUAAAUCACUGAAUCAAAGUAUUGUCCACCAUAGUUAUAUUUUCUUUCAAAAGUCAGGUUUUAAUUAAGGAGUCCUUCCAUUUCAGAUGUAUUCCUGUGCUUAUAGUCAGCAGUACUGAGCAGUAGGUUAAUACAAGAUUAUGCAGGGAAUACAGCACUUUGCAUGAAAAUACAUACACCUCAGGGUAUGUUUGUCCUUCUAUUUGGAGCUCUAGCUGAAUGUUUCUGUUACUGCUGAUUUGAGAAUUGCUUAGGCUAGCAAACACCCAUCACUAAUAGAAUAAAAAUAAAAAUGACAAGGUGAUCUGUAGGAGGACAGUAAAAAUGAUGAGAGCUAUUUGCAAGGAGUGAAAGAAUGGCAGAAGAUGAUGAAAAUUCUGAAGUUUUUAAGAUCUCACUUUUCAGCACCUCCUUUGUUUGUCCCUUCCCUUCCACCCAGCAUUAUCGGAGUGGUAGAAGAUAUCCCACCUGCACUGACAUCAUGAUCUGAACUGCAGCCUGUGACUGUCAGAGGCUUUGGGUUCAGCUUUGGAGUUACCAUGUGAAUAGCAUUUUGUAAAACACCUCCUUGAAUAGUGGUUCUCUUAUGUUUCUCUCCCUGUUUCUCUCAGCACAUUUCUUCACGGCCAGGAAUUUGCAGUCUCCCAGUUCUUCCUGAAACAGGAGGGAUUUCCCUACCAAGUUCCAGGCCUCUCUCCCAUGGUGGAAAUAUUUGCCGUGUUUCUGUGCCUUCCCGUUCACUUGCUGUGCAAAUAUGUACGCUUUCUUAGGUAGUCUCAGCCUGAGGAAGGAGGGAAGUCAUUAGAUAGGGUGAGGAAGAACUAACUCAUGACCUUGCUUGGAAGCUGUACGUGAGUCUCUAGCUAUUGUUCAGAACAAACUGGAUGGCCUGAAUUGCCAGUGACUGAGGUGCAGUAAUCAAUCAUAUUGUAAGCUUUCCCAGCUCAAAAAAGAAUGCAGAGAAGUUAACAUUUCAAAAUACUGUUGGCAAGAGAAUUUACAUUGUUCUAUUCCCUAAACUGUGUCUAGUUUGGAAUUAUACUGCACUUCAUCUUCUUCAUAUGAAGUUGUGAGCUCUGCCUUUUGGUUUUCAGCAAUGGGGAAGAUUAACUAUAUGAACACUUUAAAACUACCUCUGAUGUUUAAAAACGUUGACACCUACAUUUUGCAAAGCCAUCAUUUUGUACAAGUUCAUAUGCACCCACCUGAAAUGGGGAAAAUUCUUGUCCUCUGUGUGGAACACAAACUUUUCUGCUUAUGAAGUUUGCUUAGUUUGCAGCUGGUAACAUCCAUGCAGGUAGUUUCUCCUACUCUGUGGUGGGGAAAGAAGAUUCAUUGAUCUUUAGCAUGCAGAAUUAUCUCAAACACAAUAGAUUUUCCUCAUGACAAAUCACACAUAAUCUCCAUGGCAACCUCACAUAAUUAUGCAUAAGAUUUCAAUGUAGCAACAAAAAUAAGCAUGGCAGGAAUUGUAAAGAACAGCUAUAUAGAGUGAGACAGAUGUGGGAGUACGUGGUGCAUAGAAGACUGAAAAGAAACAGUCCUAAAAUGUAAAACUGAACAAAAGACAGAAAGAUUGCCUGCUUUGUAUUGUGGAGAGGGGUGAUUAAGUCAGUAUGUUCUCUAGAAAUUGGAGGGGUUCAAAUAGCUCCUCUUAAUGUAGAAGUUCCUGAUAGUGCCAGUACAGUUCAAGGAAUGUCAGCAGCAGUUUUACCCCAAUUUCAUAGAAUUAUUAUAGCUAUAAAAAAGAUCGCUGAGUUGUAACUUGACAGUCAAGAUCUAAAUGUGGCAGAUUUUGUUUUUGAAUUUUGCUUCAAGCUGUUUGAACAGAUUUGACUAAUGGGAGCUUAAAAAUAAUAUGUAGAUUUUUGUUGUCAUCCUUAUUAUUCAUUUCUUUAUCUAUUUCUUUAUCUGUCUAUCUGCUCUUUGAAAUUCAGACUGCUCAUAUGUUCCAAAUGAGCAGAUCUCCACAUUUGAAAGAUAUACUUUUUCAUAUUUCUUCUUUUCAAAACUGCACAGGGAUUUAGGAAGAGAAUGGCAGAACAAGGGAAAUUAUUUUUUCUUAUGCAUAAGGAAUGCUACGGGUUUUUUUCUUUCUUCUUGUGUUCAUAGCCCUUUGCUGGCUUCCUAUAUUGCAUGGCUAACCUACUUGUCAGUACAAUCAUUUUGUGUCACUAUUGAACAUGUUAGCAGUGUAAAUUCAACUCAUAGAUCACAUAUUCUACUUGUAUGUUCCUGUGCUGAUGAACCCAAAGAUCCCGCUGUUGAGGAUGAUCCCUCUCAGAGUAGAGGCACCUCAGAGGCCCAAGGUACUUUCAACUUCAGUAAUACUUGAAGAUUCCCAGCAGCAUUUUCAAUGAUUAAGUUCAGACUUAAAAGGCAAUAAUCUUUUAUCAAGGCCUACCUGUGAAUACAUAACGAUGAUGAUGAUCUUCUUUUAAUUAUCAUGGCCUGAACAGAGCUCUACAAUUAACCUGGCUAUUCUGAACUCAGUCAGGUACUUUGACAUUGACUGUAGCUGAUUUUCACUAAUGUCAUAUAAAAAGGUAUAAUCAUUUCAAUUAACAUUUUAGCUAAAAAUACGAGAGAAGAAAAUAUACCAAAAUUAUCCAUAAAAUGAUAUUUAGCUAUUUCUAUUCAACUAAUGUUAUGUGUUUUAUUUAAUUUCAAGGAUUUAUUUCAGUCCAGAACAAAUUUAAGCUAUGAUAGGAAAGCAUAACCUUACACGUUAAUACUUCAAGUGACAAUACCACUGCAUAGAAUCACAGAAUGGCCUGGGUUGAAAAGGACCACAGUGAUCAUCGAGUUUCAACCCCCCUGCUAUAUGCAGGGCCGCCAACCACCAGACCAGGCUGCCCAGAGCCACAUCCAGCCUGGCCUUGAAUGCCUCCAGGGAUGGGGCAUCCACAGCCUCCUUGGGCAACCUGUUCCAGUGCGUCACCACCCUCUGGGUGAAAAACUUCCUCCUAAUAGCAGAGGUGGUUUUAGUAUCUUACCCUGCUAAAGCAUUCACAUUAAUAACUUGUCUUCUUGAAGACUCCAGGUUUGGUACACAGGAGUUGAGCAAAGUUAAACUUCAUGUUUCCUAAUCCUUAUUUUUCUCGGUCCUGAACAAUUAAUAAUUUUUCAUUUGAGUGACCUAGUAUCCUGUAUGGAACUCCCAAGUGAGAAUUAAACCAGAAAACUUUUCUGCCUUUUUAUCUUCCAGUCUUCUAGAGACAGCACUCUUUCCUCUUCAGAUAUACUGAAUCUUUCCUUUAUUUAAACAAACAAACAAACAAACAAACAAAACUCGUCUGAAGAGCUGGUAAAUACCUUCCCUCUCCUUAUGGCUGAGGGCAGGCAGUGGGCUGCUGUUUUGGGCACCUCAAAAGAGAUGUCAUUCUGCAGCAAUCUGUAGAGCAUCUUUUUUUCUAUUAAAAUGAGUAACAAGCUAAGAAAGUAUUAUAGGUAGGAAGUAACAAGAGUUGCUUGGCCUAUUGAGGAAUCAUGAAAGCAUGUGCAAGCAACUUCCUUUUUUUGUUGUUUAAAAUUUCUGAAAAUUAUUACUGUCAGUUACCAUGUAACCUGAUAGUGGUCCACAAUCAGACGUACAACAGGAAGGGUAAAAAACAAACUGUGUGUGUUGGGUUUCCUUCUUCUCUUGAGUAGCUAAAUAUUUGCUUGACCAAAGACUGCAGUGUUAAAUUAAUGCUAGUUUUUUGAAUUAUCUCUUAUAGUACAUUCAAGAAUACAUGAGCUCC